UACGUAGGGGGCAAGCGUUGUCCGGAAUCAUUGGGCGUAAGAGCUUGUAGGCGGUUUGUCGCGUCUGCUGUGAAAUUUCGGGGCUCAACCCCGAACUUGCAGUGGGUACGGGCAGACUAGAGUGUGGUAGGGGAGACUGGAAUUCCUGGUGUAGCGGUGAAAUGCGCAGAUAUCAGGAGGAACACCGAUGGCGAAGGCAGGUCUCUGGGCCACUACUGACGCUGAGAAGCGAAAGCAUGGGGAGCGAACAGG
rnacentral:rRNA from 1 species